rnacentral:rRNA from 1 species
GUGUGCUUACAAGUAGUCAGAGCCCGUUAAUGGGUGAUGGCGUGCCUUUUGUAGAAUGAACCGGCGAGUUACGAUUUGAUGCAAGGUUAAGCAGUAAAUGUGGAGCCGUAGCGAAAGCGAGUCUGAAUAGGGCGUUUAGUAUUUGGUCGUAGACCCGAAACCAGGUGAUCUACCCUUGGUCAGGUUGAAGUUCAGGUAACACUGAAUGGAGGACCGAACCGACUUACGUUGAAAAGUGAGCGGAUGAACUGAGGGUAGCGGAGAAAUUCCAAUCGAACCUGGAGAUAGCUGGUUCUCUCCGAAAUAGCUUUAGGGCUAGCCUCAAGUGAUGAUUAUUGGAGGUAGAGCACUGUUUGGACGAGGGGCCCCUCUCGGGUUACCGAAUUCAGACAAACUCCGAAUGCCAAUUAAUUUAACUUGGGAGUCAGAACAUGGGUGAUAAGGUCCGUGUUCGAAAGGGAAACAGCCCAGACCACCAGCUAAGGUCCCAAAAUAUAUGUUAAGUGGAAAAGGAUGUGGCGUUGCCCAGACAACUAGGAUGUUGGCUUAGAAGCAGCCAUCAUUUAAAGAGUGCGUAAUAGCUCACUAGUCGAGUGACACUGCGCCGAAAAUGUACCGGGGCUAAACAUAUUACCGAAGCUGUGGAUUGUCCUUUGGACAAUGGUAGGAGAGCGUUCUAAGGGCGUUGAAGCAUGAUCGUAAGGACAUGUGGAGCGCUUAGAAGUGAGAAUGCCGGUGUGAGUAGCGAAAGACGGGUGA